UCUUCUUAGGUUUUUUGGGUUGGGAAACAUUGAGUUCCCUUCGUGUUCACUCUACUGUUUUCAAUGGAUUGGUAUUCAGUAAGGAGAAAAGGAGAGUGCUUGGUGGAGUUGCAGAUCGAACUCGGUGAUGUCAAAGGGGUCAAGAUCUGUAACUUUUGAGUUAGGGGUGGAAACUUGUUUAAGAUCUGGGUUGGUUUGGGGAAAUAGAAGGAAUCUGGCCUGGGUUUUAGGAUUGUUCUACCUGGGUUCUUUGUUUCUGUCGUUCCAUUGGCUCCUUCACCAGAUUGUUCGAUUGCUAUCUAAUUUAUCAAUCCCAAUCGAGUGGCCGACGAAGAAGGCUAGCACUACUUUUGCUCAUCUUUCUACUCAAAACCAUUUUCAAUUUCAAAUGGGUCUGCAAUGGGGAGCUCUUACUUUUUACACUCUCCCCUCUCCUACUCUCGAUUUCCCUAAUUUUCUUCUCAUGACCCAAUCUGCGAUUGUUCAAACUCCAUCUCCUUCCUAUUUUUCAUUCUCUUUCUGCAUAUCAAUGCCAAGAUAAUAAAAUUUAUAUAGGCUUGUGGAUUGUUGUUGAUUACACAGCUCAAGAAAUGGACAUCUGAUUCCUCUCAAAAUCCCGAAGAAAGAAAACCAGUUUUGUAAAAACCCAGAGGAGAUCCCAUGGGGUCAGUUUGGUGCCGAUAUUGUUGUUGGAGUCUACUAGAGUGUUCACUGACAAGGACAAAGCCGCUGCGCACUUAAAGUGAGGCAGACAAUGGGAUUAAGAAACCAAAAUUUUCAAGGAAUCCUAGAUAUCAUGACAUCCUUAUGGAUGAAGUAUAUCCUGCAAAAGAAUCUUGGUCCAGAAUGCUAUUUGGAAAGGAAAAUGUCAAGGUACAUAUUCUUACGUACGUUAUCUUGGUCUAUAGGACCAACAGUGUGUCAAUUUCCACACUUCACAUUAGUUCUUUGUCCUUUGUAUGAAGAAUCAUUGUAUGAGUUACAAGUGUUCUAAAAUUUAAACAUAGAUAUAGAAGACCAGCAGUGUCUAUUGUAAAGUUUAAGGACAAGGAUGUCACUGGGAAGAGGAUUCAAGGGGUAUGCUGUGUUUCAUAGUUUCAUAGAUUGUCUCAAUUUCAUAUCCAUGGUUUUUUUGUUCAAUGUCACAUCAAACCUACUUGCUUUGGGAC